AUUGAACGCUGGCGGCAGGCCUAACACAUGCAAGUCGCACGAGUGGCGGACGGGUGAGUAAUGCCUGGGAAACUGCCGGAGGGGGGGGGAAAACUACGGGAAACGGUAGAUAAUACGACUUACCAUCGGAUGUGCCCAGAUGGGAUUAGAAAGAAGGUGGGGUAACGGCUCACCUAGGCGACGAUCCCUAGUGGGUCUGAGAGGAGGACCAGCCACACUGGAACUGAGACACGGUCCCGACGCCUACGGGAGGCAGCAGUGGGUAAUAUUGCACAAUGGGCGCAAGCCUGAUGCAGCCAUGCCGCGUGUAUGAAGAAGGCCUUCGGGUUGUAAAGUACUUUCAGCGGGGAGGCGUGACCCGCAGAAGAAGCACCGGCUAACUCCGUGCCAGCAGCCGCGGUAAUAC
rnacentral:rRNA from 1 species